ACGCCGAUGACGCUAAUGGGGGGGGUAGAGUAGAAAAAAUAUAUAUUUGACAGGGGUUUGACUGACGGGAGAUAAGGGGGCAGAAGUAGGCGAGAAAGACCUGCGUAUGAAACGAAAUUGAAGUUACUUUUUGUAUGUCGGUCACAUUUUUUUUUGUGACUGGUGCCGCGAGUUGAAUCGUAAGUGAUGAUUAAUUCGGAAAGACACAGCAACAGGGCAUAGAACUACAGGAUGUCGCGGACAGUUUCAGUUUUUUGGAUGGGGAAGCACGACUAGAACAGUAAAACGCAACGCGGAAAAUAUUUAAAAGGGAGAAUGCGAAUGGUUAGAAGAGAUAGAAUUCAAACCAAAUGGAAACAAUGUAGCAUCGCUGCGGCAUUCCAUAUAGCUAUAAGCACUACUAGAGUAGAAAAUAGAGAGCUAGUUAACAAAUAUAAAUGUAACGUUACUUAUUAUUUAUCAGAAAAGCUCAAACAGAGUCUGUAGUAAACUGGUUGAAAUAAAAAUAGUUCGUUGGUGUCCCCAGCUACCAAAGAAGAAAAAACUCAAAUAUGCUACGGAGAAGACUGAACCGUUUGUUCGGUAGGGACGAGAGGAGGGUAGACAGCAGGACCAUCUACGUAGGCCACCGGCCCUGUCCCGCCACCGACGCUUUCAUCCCCCCCAAGUUCUGUGACAACAGGAUUGUCUCUUCCAAGUACACGGUGUGGAACUUCCUGCCAAAGAAUCUGUUUGAACAGUUCAGAAGAAUCGCCAAUUUCUACUUCCUCAUCAUCUUCUUGGUGCAGGUCAUUGUAGACACCCCCACCAGCCCAGUCACUAGUGGCCUGCCAUUGUUCUUCGUCAUCACAGUAACAGCCAUUAAACAGGGCUAUGAGGACUGGCUGCGGCACAAGGCAGACAAUGAGGUGAAUAAGUACCUGGUGACGGUGCUGGAGGACGGCCGGAGAGCACGCAAGGAGAGCGAGAAGAUCAAGGUCGGGGAUGUGGUGGAGGUGGUGGAGGAUGAGACCUUCCCCUGUGACCUCAUCCUGCUGCAGUCCAGCCGGGAGGACGAGACCUGCUUUGUCACCACGGCCAGUCUGGACGGGGAGUCCAACCAUAAGACACACUACACAGUGCCAGACACAGAGAAGGGCCUGGAGUCUCUCAGUGCCACCGUGGAGUGCGAGCAGCCGCAGCCUGACCUCUACAAGUUUGUGGGGCGUAUGCACAUCUACAAGAAUGACCAGGAGCCUGCUGUGAGGUCUUUGGGUCCAGAGAAUCUCCUCCUGAAAGGCGCUACCUUGAAGAAUACUCAGAAGAUUUAUGGAGUGGCAGUGUACUCUGGCAUGGAAACCAAAAUGGCUCUGAACUACCAGGGGAAGUCCCAGAAGCGAUCUGUGGUGGAGAAAUCUAUCAAUGCCUUCCUGCUGGUGUACCUGUGUAUCCUGGUGAGCAAGGCCCUGGUGUGCACCACGCUCAAGUACGUGUGGCAGAGCCAACCAGGCCAGGAAGAGCCCUGGUACAACCAGAAGACGCAGAAGGAGAAAGAUGCCAACCUGUACCUGAAUAUGUUUACUGACUUCCUGUCAUUCAUGGUGCUGUUCAACUUCAUCAUCCCCGUGUCCAUGUACGUGACGGUGGAGAUGCAGAAGUUCCUGGGCUCCUUCUUCAUCUCCUGGGACAAGGACUUCUUCGACCCCGAGAUCCAGGAAGGGGCUCUGGUCAACACCUCUGACCUCAACGAGGAGCUAGGACAGGUGGAGUACGUGUUCACGGACAAGACGGGCACUCUGACCCAGAACAGCAUGGAGUUCAUCGAGUGCUGCAUCGACGGCUUCCAGUACAAGAACCGUGACUCGAGCACCGAGCUGGACGGCUUCUGUGUCACAGAUGGACCCGUGAGCAUGCUGCAGCAGAAGGCUGGCAGGGAGGAGGAGGAGCUGUUCCUGCGGGCUCUGUGUCUGUGCCACACGGUGCAGGUCAAGGAGUCUACGGGUCAGGAGGACGGGGUUGGGGACCAGGUGGACGGUGUCCUGGGGCUGGACGGAGAGAUGGUCCACCCUGCAGAGCUCAGGGGCUUCAUCGCCUCCUCACCCGACGAGGUGGCACUGGUCAAGGGAGCCAUGAAGUAUGGUUUCACAUUCCUAGGUAUGGAGAGCAAGAACAUGAGAGUGAUGAACAGAGACAAAGAUGUUGAAACGUACGAGCUGCUUCAUGUGUUGAACUUUGACCCCGUGAGAAGGCGUAUGAGCGUAAUAGUCCGAUCCAAAUGCGGGGACAUCAUGCUGUUCUGUAAGGGGGCCGACUCCUCCAUCUUCCCCCGUGUCAGGCAGGAGGAGGUGGACAGGAUACGCAUGCACGUGGAGCGUAACGCUACGGAAGGCUACCGGACGCUGUGUGUGGCCUACAAGCUCCUUAGUUCUGAAGAGUACGCCCAGGCAGACGCAGGGCUGAGGGAAGCCAGGCUGGCCCUGGAUGACCGAGAGGCAAAACUCAUGGCUGUCUACAACCAGGUGGAGACUGGGAUGAGCCUGAUCGGAGCUACCGCCGUGGAGGACAGGUUGCAGGAGGAGGCAGCAGAGACCAUGGAGGCCCUGCAGCGGGCUGGCAUGAAGGUGUGGGUUCUUACGGGGGACAAGAUGGAGACGGCCAAGUCCACGUGCUACGCCUGUCGCCUAUUCCAGAGGGGCACAGAGCUGCUGGAACUGACGGUGCGAACCCUGGAGGACGGCGGGAGGAGGAGAGAAGAGCGCCUGCAUGAGGUGCUGUUAGACUACCACAAGAGGUCAGUGCAGGACCCUCCACCGGUUAAGACUAGGGUCACCAGGAGCUGGACUUCAGCUAAGCAGGACUACGGCUUCAUCAUAGACGGAGCCACUCUGUCCUUAUUGUUCAACUCCUCUCCUGACUCCAGCCACUACAAGAGUCUCUUCCUCCAGAUCUGUCAGAACUGUACCACUGUGCUGUGCUGCCGUAUGGCUCCCCUACAGAAGGCCCAGAUCGUGAACAUGGUGAAGAACUCCAAAGGCAGCCCCAUCACCCUCUCCAUCGGAGAUGGAGCCAACGAUGUCAGUAUGAUUCUGGAGGCACACAUUGGCAUCGGUAUAAAGGGUAAAGAGGGUCGCCAGGCAGUGAGGAACAGUGACUAUGCCAUCCCUAAACUCAAGCACCUGAAGAAACUGUUACUGGGACACGGGCACCUCUACUACGUUCGGAUCGCCCACCUGGUGCAAUACUUCUUCUACAAGAACCUCUGCUUCAUCUUACCUCAGUUCUUGUACCAGUUUUUCUGUGGAUCUUCCCAGCAACCCCUCUACGACGCAGCCUAUCUGACGAUGUACAACAUCUGUUUCACCUCCAUGCCUAUCCUGGCCUACAGCCUCUUGGAGCAGCACAUCUGUAUGGAGGUCCUGAUGAGCAACGCUACCCUCUACAGGGACGUAGCAAAGAACGCCAUGUUGCGUUGGAGCCCCUUCCUGUACUGGACCCUACUUGGGGUCUACCAGGGCCUCCUGUUCUUCUUUGGGGUCCGCUUUCUCUUUAGUAACCCCGCCCUGCAGGACAAUGGCCAGGUGUUUGGGAAUUGGUCGUACGGAACAAUUGUUUUUACUGUCCUCGUCUUCACCGUCACGCUAAAGCUGGCUAUGGACACGCGCCAUUGGACGUGGAUCAAUCACUUUGUCAUCUGGGGCUCGCUGGCCUUCUACAUGUUCUUCAGCUUCUUCUGGGGUGGGAUCAUAUGGCCCUUCCUUCGGCAGCAGCGUCUCUACUUUGUGUUUGCUAACAUGCUGCGCUCUGUGUCGGCCUGGCUGGUCAUCAUCCUCCUCGUCCUGCUCAGCCUGCUGCCUGAGAUCCUGCUGCUGGUCCUCCGCAAGCCGCGCUGGCCCCACUCUCGACAGAAGAAGCCGUUGGUUCAGUCGGGUGAGGGGGAAACCCAGUCUUCAGCCAGGCCCCUGCUAAUGCGAACCUUUUCAGACGAGUCCAAUACUAUCCUAUGAACAGGUACCAGCCCCAACUCUGCGGCCUAGCCUUCAGAGGACAGACUCCUACAGACAUCCAGAUCGCUGCCGUCACGCCCUUGUCCUACAAGCACCUGAAGGAGCGGGAGUAAAGGGCACAAAGGAGGAUCAACUACCCUGCGGCCACCGUCUUUCAGGAGGCCAUGGCACUCUGGCUGGGAUGACUUGUAGGACAAGGGAUGGACCCAGGGAUGACUCCAGCAGUGUUUUGAGUACCUCUGUUCCCCUGCUCCCUCCGUCCUUCCUCUUCCUGUUUCCCUCUGCAUGUCUGCAGUGCCAUUUUUGCCACGUUUUAACUGGACUGUGAGUUUCCGGAGGUUAUUUUUCUUUCCUAUGAAUACUACCGGGGGGGGGGGGGGGGGUGCGGUGCGUGCGUACAUGGCUGCCUUGUCAGAGGUAGUCCUACGGUCGGCUGUGUUCUAACAUGCAGCCACACCUCCACUGUCCCAGAAUGAUUCAUCUGCAUGAAACUAAGUAGGCCUCAUGAAUGCCACAUUCCACUUGUUAUUUAUAUUUUUCUGCAAGGUUUGUCUUUUUUUUUUUUUAAAGCAAAUGUCACUCACUUUCUGAAACUAAAAUUCCACUGCUCCAGAUCCAAAUCAUAGUUUAGAAGUUGCAUGAUUCCAAUCCAGUCAAGUCCAAUGCAAAGAGAGCAUAUUCACUCAGUGCAGACUGCACUGAACACGGGUUACUGGAGAUCUUUGAAAUGUCCUUGAAUACUGUGUUUAGAGCACAACCCCCUGCUGGGUUAAGUCUCUAUUUUCCCAUCUCCCCAAAGAGUGUGGUGAAUCAAAAUGACUGGUAAUGAGUUGUGCUUGCCAACAUUUCUACCUGGUUCGGUGUUUGUAGCAUGACUUGAAUCUUCCCACCUUAAGGCCGGUGAUCGUUUAAGAAAAUCCCAAAUGUAUUGAAAAUGAAUAUAUGUGCUGUAUAUCGCUUAACCUGUUUGAAUAUCUAAAGCUUGAUGCCAAAAAUGUGUCUGAGCUGGGGAGAUGCAAGUGUCAUGCCCAGCGCCAUCCAAAUGAUUGCAAUGUUGCUGAGUGGGUGUGUGUGUGCCCAGCAGCACAGUUGUACUGGAUGGGAAUCAUGGCCUCAAAGCAACCUGUGUGUGUUACAUUGAGACACGUUUAACCAGAAUACCUGGAUCUACCUUGUACAUUUAGCAUGUGGUUGUCAUGACCUGUCCUCUAAAGGACUUCAGGAGUUCUGUGGAGCGCACACACAUGCACUAAAAGCCUAAAAUUAGUGAUACAUGUCCCAUUACCAGUUAGUGUUGUUUGUCAAAGGUGGGCUGAUGUUGGUGGGUAAAGAUCCCAACUUCAGACUUCCUCUUUCUUGCCACCAUAGGUAAUGCCACUGAGGCUUUCUACCCACCUGCUACCAUAGAUGUUCAUGGAUCUCCAUUUACUAUGUCUGAGAUGGGUUUCUUACAGAAAGAUGGUUCUGACUUCUAGCGUUAGUGCUUCAGACAUUCCAUUUCUACAUGCUAUGAUUUGAAUCACUUUUAGACACUAUAUGGGAAGAUGUUUUGGAACAUGUGAAAUAUUUAUUGUUCCGUGCAAUUUUUACUCACAAAUUGUAUAUUUUUAUUACGUGAAUCUUUUUUUGUUGUUGUAGCGAAUGAUCAGCUUCGUGAUUCUUCAGUAUGCCUGUGUUACUUCAGACCAGAUGUGUGCCCAGUGCUAACCCAUAUCAUCUGUAUCUCUCACACACACACACACACACCCUGCAGGUAUAUCCUACCUUACACCUCUACUAUAUCCUCUCCCUCCACCGAUCUGGUAGCAGGUCAGAUCACAGAGCACCGGUUAGAUCAGUUCAGUCAUAUCCAGGCUAGGAAUGGAGCUUCUUCUAUGUUUGCCACAGAGGGAUAUGCCUGGGAGUAGGUGCCCUGUUGGCACCUCUUUAGUCUCUUACAAAAUGCCAUAAUAGGUCCUGUACAGCCCUCAUGUAGCUAUUGCAAUAUCUCCUCAUAUGAUGAUUAGCAUCACUGAUGGUUGUAGUUCCUAAGCUGAGUAUCCUUAGUCCAGAUGGGCUCCAUUCCAGCUCCUUAGUGGUUGGAGAUACUGUAAUAGCUACAUGAGGGCUGUACAUGACCUGUGACAUACUGAGCAUGUGGCAGAAUUCAAGACAUGGCUCCCAUGCCAAAUGUGAUUUACCGUACUUCCAUCAACUUCUUUUUUUAUUUUGACCUUUUAUUUAACUAGGCAAGUCGGUUAAGAACAAAUUCUUAUCUUCAAUGACAGCUUAGGAACAGUGGGUUACCUGCCUGUAUCACAUACUGUACCAUCUUGUGGAGGAGAAAAUGAUAUAUUUACCUUGACUUCAAGGGUCUAGAGUUUCCAGAGGGUUGUAAUACGGGGAACUCUUUGUAACGUUUCCUUUUGAAACAGUAAAGCUAUGAGGAGUAUGGACCGCUCAGACUAACGUGAAGAUGCCGUUGAACUUUCACCUACCUGGGCUCUGUGUCCUAGGUCAGCGGGUAGGUGGAGGACUUUCUGUAUGUUUUAAAAAAACAAACCUUUAACAUUACAUCAGAGAUGCUAUUUUAAAAUGCUUUUUAAAAAGUAUUGGAUACUCAUGUUUUGCCUGACAAAAUAUGUAAAAAAAUUGAUUGUAUUUUAAAUGCAACCUUUUUCCAGCCACUUUUUUUGUAAGAAUAAUCAAAACGUCCAAAAAAAAGCACGAGAGGCUGGGUGAAUGUGGAGAAUAACCCUGUCCUCGGGUGACUGCUGUGGUGGGGUGCCUUAGGUUCAGACGGGCACAGAAUGGGCACUUCACAUCUGGCCCCUCAGUCUCCAGCCUCGGCACUCUGAACCUCCGAUCUGAAUGUACCACUUUAAGACCAGUAUGUUCAACAGUUUUUCUGCAAUAAAAACACUGUUUUGAAAA